CUCUGUGUGGUUGCAACACACCGGGUCACCUCCUGGCUGUAACCCUCCUGCAGCCUGCAGGGCAAUGGGCCAGUCUGCGUGUUCCUCCCACUAUUUUCCACUGAGCGACAAGGCUGCACAUUGUGCUCACACCGGCCGGCCAGCCAGCCAAGGUUACACAGUCGCUUUCUCUCCCCCGCCUCUCAAGGUGACAAAUGGAGACCUUCAAUCAUAAACUAAACACAUACUUAGAGUCAUGGAUGGGCCCCAGGGAUCAGAGGGUGCGGGGAUGGCUGCUGCUCGACAACUACCCACCAACCUUUGCACUCACAGUCAUGUACCUUCUAAUCGUGUGGAUGGGGCCCAAGUACAUGAAACACAGAC